rnacentral:rRNA from 1 species
CCUACGGGUGGCAGCAGUGGGGAAUAUUGCACAAUGGGGGAAACCCUGAUGCAGCGACGCCGCGUGAGUGAAGAAGUAUCUCGGUACGUAAAGCUCUAUCAGCAGGGAAGAAAAUGACGGUAACUGACUAAGAAGCCCCGGCUAACUACGUGCCAGCAGCCGCGGUAAUACGUAGGGGGCAAGCGUAGUCCGGAUUUACUGGGUGUAAAGGGAGCGUAGACUGCAGCAGAAGUCUGGAGUUAAAUCCCGGGGCUUAACCCCGGGACUGCUUUGGAAACUGUGCGGCUGGAGUGCAGGAGGGGUAAGCGGAAUUCCUAGUGUAGCGGUGAAAUGCGUAGAUAUUAGGAGGAACACCGGUGGCGAAGGCGGCUUACUGGACUGUAACUGACGUUGAGGCUCGAAAGCGUGGGGAGCAAACAGGAUUAGAUACCCCGGUAGUC